rnacentral:rRNA from 1 species
UAGUGAUUAACGCGAAGAACCUUACCUGGGUUUGACAUAUAGAGAAAACUGUCAGAGAUGGCAGGUCCGUAAGGGCUCUAUACAGGUGGUGCAUGGCUGUCGUCAGCUCGUGUCGUGAGAUGUUGGGUUAAGUCCCGCAACGAGCGCAACCCUCGUCCUAUGUUGCCAGCACAUAAUGGUGGGGACUCAUAGGAGACUGCCGGGGUCAACUCGGAGGAAGGUGGGGAUGAGGUCAAGUCAUCAUGCCCCUUAUGUCCAGGGCUUCACGCAUGCUACAAUGGCCGGUACAAAGGGCUGCGAAACCGCAAAGUAGAGCGAAUCCCAAAAAGCCGGUCUCAGUUCGGAUUGGGGUCUGCAACUCGACCCCAUGAAGUCGGAGUCGCUAGUAAUCGCAGAUCAGCAACGCUGCGGUGAAUACGUUCCCGGGCCUUGUCACACCGAAUCGAAUUCC